rnacentral:lncRNA from 13 species
GAAUGUUUACAGCUGAAGCCCCAGUGGGUGGAUGUUACAGUGUGCUCUUCCACUUUAUCCGUGGGUCCACAGGCAGCCUGCAUUAGAGCCCCUGCCUUAUCUUCCACCAUCCGCUGUUCAAUGCUGGUGUGUUCUUCCAUCAAUAUGUUCCUCUUGACAUCCAGCUGCUUGUGUGUGUGCCUACCGGGGUCUCAGGGAUUUUAUAGGCACAGGAUGGGGGUGUGGCAGGUCAGGGUGGUCUUGGGAAAUACAACAUUUGGGCACUGAAACAGAAAUACCUGUCCUCACCUAGUUCCGUGGGCAUAGGCCCAGGGGUGGAGCCCUCACCAGAGACCCUCCCAGCAUUUCCCUGCCCCUCUUCUCGUAUCGCCAUCAAUGCAGUAACUCCUUUCACUUAAUUGAGCCAGGUUCGAUUUUGUUCUUGCUUUUCAGCAGAAAGCGUGCAGAUGCACAGCUGUCAUCCGAACAGUGGUACUCACUCUCCACCUGAACGGAGGAGCUCAUUCUGCAUCAGGAGACAGGGUUUUACUCUGUUGCUCAGCCUGGAAUGCAGUGUUGGGAACACGGCUCACUACACCCUCCAACUCCUAGGCUCAAGCUAUCCUCCCAUCUCAGCCUCCCAAGUAGCUGGGACCACAGGCAUGUACCACCAUCCACCUCUCUGACUAAUUUGGUUUUUUUUUUGUUUUGAGAUGGUGUCACAUUAUGUUGCCCAGGCUGGUCUCAAAUUUCUGGCCUCAAGUGGUCCUCCCACCUCAGCGAUUUUCUUUUUCAAGUCAUGAGUGAUUUUUGAAUUUGUUCAAGUGAUUUUUCUCCAUCAGUUGAUGUAAUUAUAUGAUUUUUCUUCUUUAGCCUGUCGAUAUGGUGAAUUACACUGACUGAUUUUGAAUACUAAACAGCCUUCCAUUACCAGACUAAACUCCACUCAGUCAUGGUGUAUAAUUUGUUUUAUGCAUUGUUGAAUUCUAGUUGCCAAUAUUUUGUUAAGGGAUUUUGCGUUUAUUGAUUUUUUUAACUAUUGUUACCCAAACACCAGGGGUUUGGUCUAGGUCUUGCUGCUUAUGAGACAAAAAGGUAGUCACUGAGACAGCAAGUAUUGCAAAGGAAGAAGGCUUUAAUCAGGUGCUGCAGCCAAGAGGAUGGGAGCUCAGUUUCAAAUCCAUCUCCCCGACAGACUAAAACUAGGGGUUUAUAUAACAGAGAAGAAAUGUGAC